rnacentral:rRNA from 1 species
GGGUUGUGAGGUUAAGCGACUAAGCGUACACGGUGGAUGCCCUGGCAGUCAGAGGCGAUGAAGGACGUGCUAAUCUGCGAUAAGCGUCGGUAAGGUGAUAUGAACCGUUAUAACCGGCGAUUUCCGAAUGGGGAAACCCAGUGUGAUUCGUCACACUAUCAUUAACUGAAUCCAUAGGUUAAUGAGGCGAACCGGGGGAACUGAAACAUCUAAGUACCCCGAGGAAAAGAAAUCAACCGAGAUUCCCCCAGUAGCGGCGAGCGAACGGGGAGGAGCCCAGAGCCUGAAUCAGUGUGUGUGUUAGUGGAAGCGUCUGGAAAGGCGCGCGAUACAGGGUGACAGCCCCGUACACAAAAAUGCACAUGCUGUGAGCUCGAUGAGUAGGGCGGGACACGUGGUAUCCUGUCUGAAUAUGGGGGGACCAUCCUCCAAGGCUAAAUACUCCUGACUGACCGAUAGUGAACCAGUACCGUGAGGGAAAGGCGAAAAGAACCCCGGCGAGGGGAGUGAAAAAGAACCUGAAACCGUGUACGUACAAGCAGUGGGAGCACAGAGCAAUCUGUGUGACUGCGUACCUUUUGUAUAAUGGGUCAGCGACUUAUAUUCUGUAGCAAGGUUAACCGAAUAGGGGAGCCGAAGGGAAACCGAGUCUUAACUGGGCGUUAAGUUGCAGGGUAUAGACCCGAAACCCGGUGAUCUAGCCAUGGGCAGGUUGAAGGUUGGGUAACACUAACUGGAGGACCGAACCGACUAAUGUUGAAAAAUUAGCGGAUGACUUGUGGCUGGGGGUGAAAGGCCAAUCAAACCGGGAGAUAGCUGGUUCUCCCCGAAAGCUAUUUAGGUAGCGCCUCGUGAAUUCAUCUCCGGGGGUAGAGCACUGUUUCGGCAAGGGGGUCAUCCCGACUUACCAACCCGAUGCAAACUGCGAAUACCGGAGAAUGUUAUCACGGGAGACACACGGCGGGUGCUAACGUCCGUCGUGAAGAGGGAAACAACCCAGACCGCCAGCUAAGGUCCCAAAGUCAUGGUUAAGUGGGAAACGAUGUGGGAAGGCCCAGACAGCCAGGAUGUUGGCUUAGAAGCAGCCAUCAUUUAAAGAAAGCGUAAUAGCUCACUGGUCGAGUCGGCCUGCGCGGAAGAUGUAACGGGGCUAAACCAUGCACCGAAGCUGCGGCAGCGACGCUGAUGCGUUGUUGGGUAGGGGAGCGUUCUGUAAGCCUGUGAAGGUGUGCUGUGAGGCAUGCUGGAGGUAUCAGAAGUGCGAAUGCUGACAUAAGUAACGAUAAAGCGGGUGAAAAGCCCGCUCGCCGGAAGACCAAGGGUUCCUGUCCAACGUUAAUCGGGGCAGGGUGAGUCGACCCCUAAGGCGAGGCCGAAAGGCGUAGUCGAUGGGAAACAGGUUAAUAUUCCUGUACUUGGUGUUACUGCGAAGGGGGGACGGAGAAGGCUAUGUUGGCCGGGCGACGGUUGUCCCGGUUUAAGCGUGUAGGCUGGUUUUCCAGGCAAAUCCGGAAAACUAAGGCUGAGGCGUGAUGACGAGGCACUACGGUGCUGAAGCAACAAAUGCCCUGCUUCCAGGAAAAGCCUCUAAGCAUCAGGUAACAUCAAAUCGUACCCCAAACCGACACAGGUGGUCAGGUAGAGAAUACCAAGGCGCUUGAGAGAACUCGGGUGAAGGAACUAGGCAAAAUGGUGCCGUAACUUCGGGAGAAGGCACGCUGAUAUGUAGGUGAAGUCCCUCGCGGAUGGAGCUGAAAUCAGUCGAAGAUACCAGCUGGCUGCAACUGUUUAUUAAAAACACAGCACUGUGCAAACACGAAAGUGGACGUAUACGGUGUGACGCCUGCCCGGUGCCGGAAGGUUAAUUGAUGGGGUCAGCGCAAGCGAAGCUCUUGAUCGAAGCCCCGGUAAACGGCGGCCGUAACUAUAACGGUCCUAAGGUAGCGAAAUUCCUUGUCGGGUAAGUUCCGACCUGCACGAAUGGCGUAAUGAUGGCCAGGCUGUCUCCACCCGAGACUCAGUGAAAUUGAACUCGCUGUGAAGAUGCAGUGUACCCGCGGCAAGACGGAAAGACCCCGUGAACCUUUACUAUAGCUUGACACUGAACAUUGAGCCUUGAUGUGUAGGAUAGGUGGGAGGCUUUGAAGUGUGGACGCCAGUCUGCAUGGAGCCGACCUUGAAAUACCACCCUUUAAUGUUUGAUGUUCUAACGUUGACCCGUAAUCCGGGUUGCGGACAGUGUCUGGUGGGUAGUUUGACUGGGGCGGUCUCCUCCUAAAGAGUAACGGAGGAGCACGAAGGUUGGCUAAUCCUGGUCGGACAUCAGGAGGUUAGUGCAAUGGCAUAAGCCAGCUUGACUGCGAGCGUGACGGCGCGAGCAGGUGCGAAAGCAGGUCAUAGUGAUCCGGUGGUUCUGAAUGGAAGGGCCAUCGCUCAACGGAUAAAAGGUACUCCGGGGAUAACAGGCUGAUACCGCCCAAGAGUUCAUAUCGACGGCGGUGUUUGGCACCUCGAUGUCGGCUCAUCACAUCCUGGGGCUGAAGUAGGUCCCAAGGGUAUGGCUGUUCGCCAUUUAAAGUGGUACGCGAGCUGGGUUUAGAACGUCGUGAGACAGUUCGGUCCCUAUCUGCCGUGGGCGCUGGAGAACUGAGGGGGGCUGCUCCUAGUACGAGAGGACCGGAGUGGACGCAUCACUGGUGUUCGGGUUGUCAUGCCAAUGGCACUGCCCGGUAGCUAAAUGCGGAAGAGAUAAGUGCUGAAAGCAUCUAAGCACGAAACUUGCCCCGAGAUGAGUUCUCCCUGACUCCUUGAGAGUCCUGAAGGAACGUUGAAGACGACGACGUUGAUAGGCCGGAUGUGUAAGCGCAGCGAUGCGUUGAGCUAACCGGUACUAAUGAACCGUGAGGCUUAACCUUACAACGCCGAAGCUGUU